AUUUCUUGAAAUUAAAAAAUAAACAUCUGAUUCAUACAGGAACUUCUUAAAAAUUCUUAUCAAUAGUGCCACACUACCAAUACGUUAUGCCGCCAUAGUUCCAUGUCCAUCACGUAGUAGAGGACAUUCACAAGGCUGCGAUUUACAUCUAACACAUCUAACAGAUUGCUGAAAUGGGGUCUAACCAUUAUAAAUGUGUCCAAUCCAAUAGUCGUCCAAUCUUGGAGUUUUAAACUCCAUCCAUUGAAGUUAACGUAUAGACGUACAUACGGACAAGCAAAAACUUAAAAAUAGAUAAGGGAUACGGCAAUUUGUUGGAAUCUUAUGUGGUGUUAUUCGUAAAAUAAAGUGAUUCAAAAUUAUUGGAAAUGUUAACUCUUUUCAAACCUGUCACUCCU